rnacentral:rRNA from 1 species
GAUGAACGCUGGCGGCGUGCCUAAUACAUGCAAGUCGAGCGAACAGACGAGGAGCUUGCUCCUCUGACGUUAGCGGCGGACGGGUGAGUAACACGUGGAUAACCUACCUAUAAGACUGGGAUAACUUCGGGAAACCGGAGCUAAUACCGGAUAAUAUAUUGAACCGCAUGGUUCAAUAGUGAAAGACGGUUUUGCUGUCACUUAUAGAUGGAUCCGCGCCGCAUUAGCUAGUUGGUAAGGUAACGGCUUACCAAGGCAACGAUGCGUAGCCGACCUGAGAGGGUGAUCGGCCACACUGGACCUGAGACACGGUCCAGACUCCUACGGGAGGCAGCAGUAGGGAAUCUUCCGCAAUGGGCGAAAGCUUGACGGAGCAACGCCGCGUGAGUGAUGAAGGUCUUCGGAUCGUAAAACGCUGUUAUUAGGGAAGAACAAAUGUGUAAGUAACUAUGCACGUCUUGACGGUACCUAAGCAGAAAGCCACGGCUAACUACGU